CACGUGUUUCCGCUGUAGCAGUAAACAACAGGAUGGAUUUUCAUGAUUAUUUUACGAUGGAGAACACGUCAAUUCAUCAGAUAUGACGGGUCUUUUCUUUGGCAUUAGAUGUGACACGUGUAGUGUGCUGGUACCAUUUAGGCUUCAGAACUUUCAUCUAUGAAGACCCACUUGCUUAUCCCACCAAUGGCCACCAUGCACAGAAAAGACCAUGAUGUGGAGGACAUAGGUGCUUAGUUAUUAGAGUCGGGACAGAAUACAUUUAGAAACUGAGCAUGUCUCGGUCAAAUCAAAGGAGUUCCCUCGGUCUUUCAGAGAGAUGGCAGAGAGAUCAUUCAACAUGAAGAUGAUGUGCACAUAAUGUAAUCUGGAAUCUAAAGUUAGAGAUAAAAACCUGCAAACUUACUAGCAAAUAAGCCUAUCUGCUUGUUAAUUAUUCUUUGCUGGAUACAUCACUUUUAGGAAUGCUCUUUAUUUCUAUCAAUGAUGCAAGUGGUUAUUCAAGAUCAUGUCAAUGACAUGUGAUAUAAGGAAUUCUGACUUUUGACAGCAUAAGUCAAGGGUUUAUGAGAAGAGUAGCAAAUACUAAAGAAAUCCUUGGAUACUGAAAUUCAGUCAUUGUAUGCCACAUAAACUGGAUGAGUGAAAGAUUGUAGCUGAAGUUCUGUGCUUGUCCAUCUUUGCUGUAUUUUCAUAUGCUUAUAAAAUGACAAAAGUUGUUUUAACAAGUGACCCAGUAAAGACUUGAAAAUGUAAAAUAAUUCUUGUAAGAAAAGAAAAAUUGCAAAUGUUUUCUUAUACAAUGUAUUCUAGAUGACAAAAAAUGUGUUUGACUAAGUUUUUGAAAAUGACAAAAUAAGUUAUCUUUUGUAUAAUUAAAAAAUGAUACUGGUUGCAAUACAUUUUUACCUUAAUAUGAUUUUAAUAGUAUUUGUCACUAAGAUUGAAAUACUUGAGAACACAUCUUACAAAUUUUGUUCCAGUUUACUUUAGUCAGAGAUAUAUUUUUUGAAUGACAACCAAGAUUUGAAAAAAAGAAAAAACAAAGUAAAACAAAACUAUUCACUUUUGUGAUAUUUAUGUUGAUUUUGUUGUUUACAAUUUUAUGUGUCAGUUAUUGGACAAUAUGUCCAUAAUAAUUGCAGCAUUUCAAAUUUGAUAUAUACUAACAAUUUAAGGUAGAUUUCUGUACUGAUAUGACCUUGACCCCCAAAGAACAGAAAUUUCAGGGUCAAUACUUAAGACAAUUAUUUGUUGGAUGUUUUAUACAUUAUUUUUGACCUUAUAUCUUACAAACGAUACCAUGGAAAACUGUCUAGAAUAAGAAGUAAGAAACCUAUAAAGCCAAAAAAUUGAAUAUUGUUGAUGCUUAGCAACCAUUUAAAGGUCAUUUAACACAAAUUUGAACAAAAAUAAUAUGUGGAUAUUGCAAUACAGUAUGAUGCCUUCUAAAGAGUAAAUUCAGAAUUUUCUUCUUUAGCAUCCAUUGUUACAAAUUGUAGCAAGAAAGAUGAAAAGUUUUGGGAAAAAUUUCUAAAAUUAUGCACUUAUUUGACCUUUGACCUCCAAAAAAAGUGAAUCUGAUGAGGUCAAACUUUAAGACAAUUAUCUGAUGUAUAUUAUUUCAGUAUCAUUACCCCACAUAUGACUUUACAAUGUAAUGGAAUGCAUAAAUGUGUGUGGGAUGAGCAAAAAACAAGAAAUACUGCCUGAAAAUUGAAAAAUACUCUGUUGCUUAGCAACCUCUUUAAAGUCAUUAUUUGCAGAAUUGAAAAAAAAGUUUAUGUGAUUAAUGUAGUACAGGAUAAUGCCCUUUUGUGGGUUUAUUCUGAAUUUCCUAUUUCAAUGUGUAUCACUGUUAAUUUUUAACUUGAAAAUUAAAAUGUGUCAAAAAAUGCAAUAAAA